GAGUGAACGCUGGCGGUAGGCCUACCACAUGCAAGUCGAACGGCAGCACAGUAAGAGCUUGCUCUUACGGGUGGCGAGUGGCGGACGGGUGAGGAAUACAUCGGAAUCUACUUUUUCGUGGGGGAUAAUGUAGGGAAACUUACGCUAAUACCGCAUACGACCUACGGGUGAAAGCAGGGGAUCUUCGGACCUUGCGCGAUUGAAUGAGCCGAUGUCGGAUUAGCUAGUUGGCGGGGUAAAGGCCCACCAAGGCGACGAUCCGUAGCUGGUCUGAGAGGAUGAUCAGCCACACUGGAACUGAGACACGGUCCAGACUCCUACGGGAGGCGGCAGUGGGGAAUAUUGGACAAUGGGCGCAAGCCUGAUCCAGCCAUACCGCGUGGGUGAAGAAGGCCUUCGGGUUGUAAAGCCCUUUUGUUGGGAAAGAAAAGCAGCAGGUUAAUACCCCGCUGUUCUGACGGUACCCAAAGAAUAAGCACCGGCUAACUUCGUG
rnacentral:rRNA from 1 species